rnacentral:rRNA from 1 species
UACGGAGGGGGCUAGCGUUGUUCGGAAUUACUGGGCGUAAAGCGCGCGUAGGCGGACCUGCAAGUCGGGGGUGAAAGCCCGAGGCUCAACCUCGGAACUGCCUUCGAUACUGCGGGUCUCGAGUCCGGGAGAGGUGAGUGGAAUUCCUAGUGUAGAGGUGAAAUUCGUAGAUAUUAGGAAGAACACCAGUGGCGAAGGCGGCUCACUGGCCUGGUGCUGACGCUGAGGAGCGAAAGCGUGGGGAGCGAACAGG